ACCAAUCGAUGUCGUGCGAGCGACAAUGCUACUUCGGGCGAGAUCGCUGGCUCGUGGGCAUUCAUCUGUACGCUCCGCCGUGAUCGAACAACUGAUCGCAUUUCUGAACCACGGUAUCACCCCCGUCGUACCGGCGCUUGGAAGUGUCUCGGCUAGUGGCGACUUGGCGCCCCUGUCGCACAUUGCCCUCGCGCUCAUCGGAGAAGGCGAUGUGUUCGUGCGUGACAACUAUGGCAGCAGGCGCAUUAGUGCGUCCGCUGCGAUCAGCGACGCCGGCUUGGAACCGCUAGAACUUGAGAUGAAAGAGGGUCUCGCUCUCAAUAAUGGGAGCCAGUAUUCUCUUGCAUGGUCCGUUCUGGCUGCAGAAAAGAUGAAAAGAAAUCUAGAUGCUGCGCUUCUAGCCACGGCGCUCACAUCGCAGGUCAUGUUUGGAGCCGAUACGCCAUAUAAGAGAGAACUUCAUAAGCUAAGACCGCAUCCUGGCUCCCAAUUGGUGGCGAAGAUUCUUUGUGACCUUAUUGAAGGUUCUCCAAUACGUGAGUUUCACAGAGACUUCGACGUCGAUGGCGAGGUUCAAGAUGUGUACAAUCUUCGGUGUGCCGCGCAGAUAUUGGGUCCAUGCUGGCAAUUGUUGAAGCGAGCAAUCGAGACAUUCGAAAUUGAGUCAAACAGCGUCACAGACAACCCGAUCGACAUCAGUGAGAUAUCUGACCAACCGAGUAUCGAAGCAAUCACUUCCGGAGGCCAUUUUCACGGCAUGCCCGUUGCGGUCGACGCCUACGGCUUGAUUCAGGCAGCGGCGAUUAUGGCAAGACUUUCCAACAUGAGGUGUGCUCGAUACGUUGAUCCAGCUCGCAACAAGGGCCUUGGCCCACAGUUGAAAUGGCCAGGCGAAGGAUCCGUUGAUACGGUUCACUUUGCUGGACAAAAGACGGAGCGAGAUUUGGCGACCGAAUCCGGCCUCAUGAUUGCCGAGUACACCACCGCAGGCCUGACAAACUGGAUUUGGGGGCAGUCGAUGCCCUCACAUCUAAUGUCCAUUUCGACGGACUCUGGACAAGAAGAUCAUGUCAGCAUGGCGUCAAACGUAGCUAUGCGCUCGUU
rnacentral:misc_RNA from 1 species